rnacentral:rRNA from 1 species
UGACUGCGUACCUUUUGUAUAAUGGGUCAGCGACUUAUAUUCUGUAGCAAGGUUAACCGUAUAGGGGAGCCGGAGGGAAACCGAGUCUUAACCGGGCGUUAAGUUGCAGGGUAUAGACCCGAAACCCGGUGAUCUAGCCAUGGGCAGGUUGAAGGUUGGGUAACACUAACUGGAGGACCGAACCGACUAAUGUUGAAAAAUUAGCGGAUGACCUGUGGCUGGGGGUGAAAGGCCAAUCAAACCGGGAGAUAGCUGGUUCUCCCCGAAAGCUAUUUAGGUAGCGCCUCGUGAAUUCAUCUCCGGGGGUAGAGCACUGUUUCGGCUAGGGGGCCAUCCCGGCUUACCAACCCGAUGCAAACUGCGAAUACCGGAGAAUGUUAUCACGGGAGACACACGGCGGGUGCUAACGUCCGUCGUGAAGAGGGAAACAACCCAGACCGCCAGCUAAGGUCCCAAAGUCAUGGUUAAGUGGGAAACGAUGUGGGAAGGCCCAGACAGCCAGGAUGUUGGCUUAGAAGCAGCCAUCAUUUAAAGAAAGCGUAAUAGCUCACUGGUCGAGUCGGCCUGCGCGGAAGAUGUAACGGGGCUAAACCAUGCACCGAAGCUGCGGCAGCGACACUGUGUGUUGUUGGGUAGGGGAGCGUUCUGUAAGCCUGUGAAGGUGUGCUGUGAGGCAUGCUGGAGGUAUCAGAAGUGCGAAUGCUGACAUAAGUAACGAUAAAGCGGGUGAAAAGCCCGCUCGCCGGAAGACCAAGGGUUCCUGUCCAACGUUAAUCGGGGCAGGGUGAGUCGACCCCUAAGGCGAGGCCGAAAGGCGUAGUCGAUGGGAAACGGGUUAAUAUUCCCGUACUUGGUGUUACUGCGAAGGGGGGACGGAGAAGGCUAUGUUGGCCGGGCGACGGUUGUCCCGGUUUAAGCGUGUAGGUGUGUGUUCCAGGUAAAUCCGGUUCACUUUAACACUGAGGCGUGAUGACGAGGCACUACGGUGCUGAAGCAACAAAUGCCCUGCUUCCAGGAAAAGCCUCUAAGCAUCAGGUAACAUCAAAUCGUACCCCAAACCGACACAGGUGGUCAGGUAGAGAAUACCAAGGCGCUUGAGAGAACUCGGGUGAAGGAACUAGGCAAAAUGGUGCCGUAACUUCGGGAGAAGGCACGCUGACACGUAGGUGAAGUGAUUUACUCACGGAGCUGAAGUCAGUCGAAGAUACCAGCUGGCUGCAACUGUUUAUUAAAAACACAGCACUGUGCAAACACGAAAGUGGACGUAUACGGUGUGACGCCUGCCCGGUGCCGGAAGGUUAAUUGAUGGGGUCAGCGCAAGCGAAGCUCCUGAUCGAAGCCCCGGUAAACGGCGGCCGUAACUAUAACGGUCCUAAGGUAGCGAAAUUCCUUGUCGGGUAAGUUCCGACCUGCACGAAUGGCGUAAUGAUGGCCAGGCUGUCUCCACCCGAGACUCAGUGAAAUUGAACUCGCUGUGAAGAUGCAGUGUACCCGCGGCAAGACGGAAAGACCCCGUGAACCUUUACUAUAGCUUGACACUGAACAUUGAGCCUUGAUGUGUAGGAUAGGUGGGAGGCUUUGAAGCGUGGACGCCAGUCUGCGUGGAGCCGACCUUGAAAUACCACCCUUUAAUGUUUGAUGUUCUAACGUGGACCCGUGAUCCGGGUUGCGGACAGUGUCUGGUGGGUAGUUUGACUGGGGCGGUCUCCUCCUAAAGAGUAACGGAGGAGCACGAAGGUUGGCUAAUCCUGGUCGGACAUCAGGAGGUUAGUGCAAUGGCAUAAGCCAGCUUGACUGCGAGCGUGACGGCGCGAGCAGGUGCGAAAGCAGGUCAUAGUGAUCCGGUGGUUCUGAAUGGAAGGGCCAUCGCUCAACGGAUAAAAGGUACUCCGGGGAUAACAGGCUGAUACCGCCCAAGAGUUCAUAUCGACGGCGGUGUUUGGCACCUCGAUGUCGGCUCAUCACAUCCUGGGGCUGAAGUAGGUCCCAAGGGUAUGGCUGUUCGCCAUUUAAAGUGGUACGCGAGCUGGGUUUAGAACGUCGUGAGACAGUUCGGUCCCUAUCUGCCGUGGGCGCUGGAGAACUGAGGGGGGCUGCUCCUAGUACGAGAGGACCGGAGUGGACGCAUCACUGGUGUUCGGGUUGUCAUGCCAAUGGCACUGCCCGGUAGCUAAAUGCGGAAGAGAUAAGUGCUGAAAGCAUCUAAGCACGAAACUUGCCCCGAGAUGAGUUCU